rnacentral:rRNA from 1 species
UGGGGAAUUUUGGACAAUGGGCGAAAGCCUGAUCCAGCAAUGCCGCGUGUGUGAAGAAGGCCUUCGGGUUGUAAAGCACUUUUGUCCGGAAAGAAAUCCUUGGCUCUAAUACAGUCGGGGGAUGACGGUACCGGAAGAAUAAGCACCGGCUAACUACGUGCCAGCAGCCGCGGUAAUACGUAGGGUGCAAGCGUUAAUCGGAAUUACUGGGCGUAAAGCGUGCGCAGGCGGUUUGCUAAGACCGAUGUGAAAUCCCCGGGCUCAACCUGGGAACUGCAUUGGUGACUGGCAGGCUAGAGUAUGGCAGAGGGGGGUAGAAUUCCACGUGUAGCAGUGAAAUGCGUAGAGAUGUGGAGGAAUACCGAUGGCGAAGGCAGCCCCCCUGGGCCAAUACUGACGCUCAUGCACGAAAGCGUGAGGAGCAAACAGGAUUAGAUACCCUGGUAGUCCACGCCCUAAACGAUGUCAACUAGUUGUUGGGGAUUCAUUUUCCUUAGUAACGUAGCUAACGCGUGAAGUUGACCGCCUGGGGAGUACGGUCGCAAGAUUAAAACUCAAAUGAAUUGACGGGGUCAUAGCUGUUUCCU